rnacentral:lncRNA from 1 species
GAGGGACUUGCAUUCUCAAUGGCUCUGGUGGGGCAGAACCCUAUGCUGAGAAUCUCUGAUGGAGGUUCCAGUUCAGGAAAAUAUUAAAACAGAGAACUGGAAGGGACUUCAUAAAAUGCUUACAGGCUUGGCAGUUCUCCAGCUGCAAGGGUGGGGG